rnacentral:rRNA from 1 species
GAUGAACGCUGGCGGCGUGCCUAAUACAUGCAAGUCGAGCGAACAGACGAGGAGCUUGCUCCUCUGACGUUAGCGGCGGACGGGUGAGUAACACGUGGAUAACCUACCUAUAAGACUGGGAUAACUUCGGGAAACCGGAGCUAAUACCGGAUAAUAUAUUGAACCGCAUGGUUCAAUAGUGAAAGACGGUUUUGCUGUCACUUAUAGAUGGAUCCGCGCCGCAUUAGCUAGUUGGUAAGGUAACGGCUUACCAAGGCGACGAUGCGUAGCCGACCUGAGAGGGUGAACGGCCACACUGGAAAUGAGACACGGUCCAGACUCCUACGGGAGGCAGCAGUAGGGAAUCUUCCGCAAUGGGCGAAAGCCUGACGGAGCAACGGCGCGUGAGUGAUGAAGGUUUUCGGAUCGUAAAACUCUGUUAUUAGGGAAGAACAAAUGUGUAAGUAACUAUGCACGUCUUGACGGUACCUAAUCAGAAAGCCACGGCUAACUACGUG